GCCAUGAGCUCCGGGAAACUUGAGCCGUGUCUUAACAACUUAAACCUGUUGAGUUGAUUUUUGGGGUUCUUCGCCUCCUCGUUGGGUGUCUAGUCAAGCCGAGCUAAUUCUCCUGCCUGAGAGCGGCAACUUUUUCCAAGCAAACAUCGAAGAGUUGGUCUCUCUGUGGGAGGAGGGAAGAGGGAAGAGGAAGACAUAUCUAUGAGGCAGCAGCCAGCAGCCACAGCCAGGCAACAUGAUGCCUCUUUCUGGCUCACUUGACCACACCUGGGAAGGACAGGGCCUGCAGCCCUGGUGUAUAAUGCUGAUGAUUAACUAAAUAGAGGCUGUAGCAGUCUGUGAGAGCAGGUCGGCUUGGCUUUCUCAUUUCAUGGGCCCUGACUGACUGACCGGGAAGAAGCUGAAGUGUUCGCAGGCGCUGGCUGCUAAAAAUUCAAGAUCUUUUCCUUUUUACCCCCCACCCCCCUUUACUCACUUUGUUUUGUUGCAUUGUUUCCUUUUGGGUUCCUUUUCACGACGGUAAGGUUACAGGUACAUUUUCCACCUCUCUUCACUGCCUGUUCUUUUCCCUCCCUUAUGCGCUCUCUCUCUCUCUCUCUCUCUCUCUCUCUCUCUCUCUCUCUCUCUCUCUCUCUCUCUCUCUCUCUCUCUCUCUCUCUACCUUUCUCAUUCACUCACACUCUUCCAUUUAGCUCAUUUGCAGGAACUGGAAACCUAUUCUUUCCCUCUGAACACAGGAUUGUCUUGAUUCUAGUUUUGUUUAAGGUUUAGAGAAAAAAAUAGCAAAAAAAAUAGUUAACAUUAAUAUAUAUCAAUAUUAGUAUAACUAUUGCUGACUUACUGUACCAAGUCUCAAUAAAAUUAGAACGAGUUAUAGCAGUUAUUUGACAAUGCACGAUGCAAAUAAUUUGUUGCCACUUUGAUUGUUGAGUUAAUGUACAUAUUUGAGUGGCUGAUCAGUCUUGUGUCACUAUUUUAAGUGGCAAUGUAAAUAGAAUGACUAACUAAGGAAUAGUGGUAUAUAUUAUAUAUGAGUCUUUAUCUUACAUAAAUAUAAAUAAUUUGCAUGCAGCAUUGCGCAACUUCUAAUGAGUGUGAUGCUUUCACACUGUGUACCUGUGACUAGCCCACGUUAUUCAGUAAACAAAAGCUGUCUCAAUGACCUUCUGCACACACUGCAUAGGCACAGGCUAGGUCAGUCCAGCAUUCCUCCAGGCUUUCAACACACUACAAACACAAAGAAAGGAGGUACAGGAAAAGGAAGGCAUUAAUUUCCCCUUCGUUUUCAACAUUUCAUCAAAUGACUGUUGAAAUGAAUAUGACAUGACAUACAUUGUGCUAACUGUGCUACCAUCUUCAGAGACAUGAAAUGUGAAUACGGAACAACAACCCCAAGGCCUUGUUGCUUUAGUUUUGAGUAUGAAAAAUGCAGUGGGUUUUGUCGGAAUGGAUGUUUAAAAUGCAGUGGUCAAAAAAAUACCCAGUUGUCAUACUUGAGUAAAAGUAAAGAUACAUUAAUAGAAAAUGACUCAAGUGAAAGUCACCCAGCAAAAUACUACUUGAGUAAAAGUCUAAAAGUAUUUGGUUUUAAAUAUACUUAAGUAUCAAAAGUAAAUGCAAUUGCUAAAAUAUACUUGUGUAUAAAAAGUAUAAAUAAUUUCACAUUCUUUAUAUUAAGCAAACCAGACGGCACUAUUUUCUUGUUUUUUAAAUUUACGGAAAGCCAGGGGCACAAUCCAACACUCAGAUAUUAUUUACAAACAAAGCAUUUGUGUUGAGUGAGUCCGCUAGAUCAGAGGCAGUAGGGAUGACCAGGGAUAAUAUAUAUAUAAUUUUCAGAAUGAGGGGAAAAAGCAGCCUUACCGUUUCGUGGAACGAGACCAGUCAGAACAGUUUUGGGCAACCAUUAACAUCCACUGUGGCCCAGAACCUAACCUACUGGAACAAAGUCUGCCGUACAACAAGUUGUAUUUUUUUGUUUCGAGGCGAGUUUCAAAAACGUGGUUUCCCUUAACUUCAUCUAUUGUUUAAGACCUGGGGGUUAGGUGAUAUAUUGAACUUGCUAUUGUUAGUUUGAGUUUGAGAUAGUAGAGUCCACCCAAGGCCACAAUUUGUUGAGUUAACUGUGUGUGUGCAUGUGUGCCUGGGGAGGGAGUAUACUUGAUUUUAUAUUAUUAUAGUUUCUCCUUCUUUCUGUGGUAAAUACAGAUGUAGCUUCAGAGAUGUGAAAGACAGGCCUUCUAAUGAUAAUUUGCAGUACCAGUCAGGGUUGCCUACUGUUUAGUAUGCCUCUUUCUUUUCAUAGUGGAAUGUUCCUGAUGUCUCAUGUAUGCACAUAGGUGGGGCUUAUCCCCACACAAACCUACCCAAAGCAAGGUAAGCCUUUUAUCAAGUUUUUGUCAGUCAAAACCAGGAGAUAACACAACACAUUAAACAAAAUUAACCUGUAUUGUAAAAUGCUUAGACUAAAAUAUUAUUACUGCGAUCCGUACACUUAUUGUGAUCUGUAAAAUAAUCACUUUUAUGACCCAUUGUUUGUCUCCUAUGCAUGUAUUGGAUGGUCAUCCCCAUCUUACAAGGCAGCAUUGGAUAUCAUCAAUCUCUCUAAUACUGCCUGGUAAUGAUGAUGCUAGCCAUCCGCUAACUACAGUGGUAUACAACACACAACUUACAACGUUAGCUAGCUACAUAAGCACACUUUACCUCAGCUUGGCGGCCAUUUUUUUUCUCACAAUGAAAUGCUCUGGUUUACGCUGAAAUGGCUUUCAGGAUCCAUCUUACCUGACAGUGCUGGAUUGUACAAAAAAGUUCUAACACUGUCUGGUAACGAUGUUUCCUGGGUGACCCACCUACCUCCAGAGAUUCACCUCAGCUAAGGAUGUGAUUAAAGGGUCAGGUGUGACCACUUUAUGAAAGCAUACCAUAGACAAUACCUGAUCAGAUUAUCUGUAGUGAUAGAACUUGACUCCAGUUUGAACUCUGUAUCUUUCUUCAAGAAUUUGAGGUCUGAUAUCACUGAUAAGAAGACUUGGUUUAGGGUUGCAUCUAUCUGUAAGAGAUUGUCUUAAAUCUUCUUCUAUUGACAUGCCUUUAUUCCGCUAGCUAAAACUAUACAUCUGAAAGAAGCUCCAUUUUACCUCGUCAUUUAUUUGUAGAAAAGAUAGGCCUAUGAAGUGCUUAUUUUGUGAAUUGUAUUGGGAAAAUGUAUGGCACAUGUGGUGGUGUUUUGGCAAUCCAAGUAAUUGAAAUAUCUCAGUGUUCCUCAGUUAAGAAUCAAUUCAAACAAAUGGAGAAGAUUAGAGGCACGACUGGAAAUUGCCUUUUCCUGGGGAACGAGUAGAGGAGACCAUUAGGGGCCCUAGCUCACCCAGCCUUUGUAUUCCACUUCCCUGUCCUGUUUUAGGGUGGCCCCACCCAACCUGUGUUAAAGAAUACAAGUCGGUUCACGGUUCAACCGGUCGCACCGCCACUCAUUUUUGUAUCCCCUCCCCUCUGUAGCGUGUGGCUUGUGUUGUGUCACCGUGAUUGGUCCAGCACUGCUUAUCUACAUGGCACAUCCUGAAACUGACACAAGCUCACCUGAGCACUUAUGAUAAAAAUAGAGUCAACAACAUCCUCCUUGACUCCUUACCACUCCCCUUCAGCCUCACCCCUCUCUCAUCCCUUCAUAUGAAUGAUUACUCUUUUUUUUAUCACAGCUAAAUAUAUCCCACAGCUCUAUCUGUAGUUCCUUUUGUUGUUUUACAAGGCUUCAUUGGAGAACUUUUGUUCCAAUUAGAAUUCUGUAAAAAAAUAAAUCAUAAACAAAUGAUAAAUAGCCAUAGAGUUAAAUAGGUUGAUCCCUUAUGGCAGACUACUACCCCGUUCCAUGUCGUCUUCCAGGAAGAAAAAUACAUCCCAAUUUAAUAGGUAAAACCUUCAAACAGACAGCACAGACAUUGGCAAAUAAUAAAAGGAGCUGGCAGAGCCUAAAUGUUUGUUUAAGGAGAGAGAAUUACCUCGCAAAUAUUGAACCAUACAUUUAUUGGCUCAACUCCUGUUGUUUGCCUUUAUUUAUGACAUAGACACACGGAAUGGUUCAAUGUUUUUUCCCUUUCCCUCUCCUUUUCAAACGGUUAAAAAGACGAUUUGAUGUUGUACUGAACCCGAAUGUGGCAUAUGGAUUUAAUUUGAGGUGAGAGGGCACCACGUUUUGAUGUGAACUUUCAACCAACAGGAUCUAGUUUGUCUUUAUUCAUGGAAAAUCAUUGUAAAUGUAGUCCAUAUAAGAGUCUUUGAGAAUAUGAAAAAGACAGACUAGUAUCCCUGUCUGUGUGUGAGACAGACAAACAGACGGACAGACAGACAGACAGACAUACUGUAUCUUUUCAGCCUGUCUCUUCCUGUAUCUCAUCCUGUCUCUUUCAGCUGUCUCCCUCUGCGUACAGUGGACGGUUGGUUCAGAGCGUCCUUCAGUCCUAGCUCCCUAGCCUGUUGAUUGGCGUCUUACCAGACAUGGUUAGAUCUAAUUAUCCCUGUCUAAUACUGUCUGGUAAUGCCGUCCAUUGAAUGGCGUUAACUUCUCUUUUUCCUCUCUCCUUCUUGUACAGAAGUUUGAGCUUGGCCGUCAGUUUUCUUGGUGUGUCUGACCUCUUAGGCUUCCUCUAUAUUAAUGUGUGUAUACAGUGUGUUUGUGUGUGUGUAUAUGACCACUGCAUAGACACAUUGGUUGACGUGACAGAUGGAUUGGGAUGUGGUCACUAUGGUCAUGAAGAUAAUGACUAUACAGGAACUAUGAACCGUGCACUGGAAGAUUGAUUCAGUUGUCAGUGCUCUUCCAUGUGCCAUGUCUCAGAGUUUAUUCCUUGAGCAACGGCCCAGGUUGGCCAAAGAAAUACAGCAUUUUGGAAUAUACACAUAUGUGAUGCCAUAAGUAAAUCAAAUGCUUUAAGGUGCUUUUAAAUCUCGCUCUGUCUCUCUCUCUCUCUCUGUGUGUGUGUGUCCAUAAAUAUACUGUAUCAAAUCUUUUAUAUUUAAACGGAUGUAAUAUUAUCUUCAUGUAAUAAAGCAUUUAGAACAGCAUUUAUUCAACUUUUAAAAGAAAGAUUAGUGUGUUCGUCACGGUGUCAUGGUUACUAAAUUCCAAAUAGGAACAUUGUCUGGAAUUUGACAUUUCUCCAGGUACAGUAAAUUAAAAAAACAUAAAUAAAUCCAUUAUUGAUCUAAUUUAUCUAUAAAUACUGUCUAUACUACAACCAAGUGAUAGAUACACAUAUAUAUUUUCGCCAAUGUUAUGUAAUAUGACAUGACAAUAUCAAAUAAACUUGAAAUAAAACAA